UGUGAGAUCUGUUUCCUGGCACUAAGAUUAACAUCCUAAGAUUAACAUAUUAGAAAGCUACUUCAAAGAAGCUUGCCCACUAUCUUUGAUGAUCCAGAACGCCUCCCUGGCUGUGUAAGUGACUUGUGAAGAAAGAGAAAUGGAACAGGGAUGCAGAGGUGCGGAUUGAUCAAGAAUCAUAUCAAAAUAGUUUAAACCCAGUCAACGCAAUGCUUUCAUUGCUGACACAGAUGGCUUACUCUAUAUUUGUUAUAAUUCCUCAUAGCAAUCCCACCUGAUCACUACAGGGUGGCUGCUGGUGCGCUAGGUGGCUGGUACACCAGCCAGACAGCCAAGCUCUCCUCGGAACCCCACUAGGCCAACACAUUCAGUGCUGGGGAUCGAUGGCGAUGGCAGAGCCCUGAAAGAACAAUCUUCCCAGAUUAAUAAUGCAACCCCUCCCCUCCGGCCCACAGUCCAUGACUGGUGGAGGACAGAGAAACCUGGGGGCGCCAUCUCUCGUAAGGUAACUGUUUCUCCUUCACACACCCAGGUCUCCGUCACACAAGCCAGGUCGGCGCCCUGCGAGGUAAAGAAAUCUCGCAGGGUGGCAGUUUUGUUGCCUAUAGACCUGGCAUUGCACAGCACCAGUGACGGAGGUGAGUAAUCCUUGCUCACCCUACCCUCGUCCCUCGGGAUGGGGCGCAGAUUGGAAGGGGUACGAGCGUAUCCUUAUCUCAAUCCUCUUUGCCUAUAAAAUCUGCCCCCACUGCCAUACCUCCCUCGCCCCUCCACGGUAGCAAUCCCAAGCCUCAUACUAGCCUCCAUUGAUGGCAUUGAUGUUGUUCUUUCCCAACCUAGUUAUUCUGCUUAUAAUAUCAACAACUCGAUAAACUCUUAAUUAGUCGAGUAGGACAAACCAGCUAACCAUCAGCUACCUCUCUGAUUAUAUGAAAACGAUUAUAUUAUUUGUCAACCUAUUAUUAUAAUCUUAGACUAACCAAUUAAUUAAACUGGAGAAUAAACCACAAAACAUUCCACAGCUAAACAGAACUACCAUAUAACAUACAUUCAGGGAAGAAAAACCACCUAAAUAGCAGGAAAACAACAAUCAAGCAUCUAACAGUAGACAAGCAGAACUUAAAUAUAAUCAUAAAACAAUGGACUAUAAAGAACUGAAACAGAUGGCAAAGGAAGGGGGGAGGGGAAAAUGGUUCUUGUAGCAGACAAGGUUCUUGUAGCAUCAUGUGCCAGCUCGAGUCUAUUCAAAUGAUCUCCGAAUCUGCCAACCUGGACAACCAGGCGACAUCGGGGGACGGGCAAAGGAAGGAGGGGCAGGCUCGGUAAAUGCCCUGUUCAAUGUCAAUGCCAUGCCCGAUGGUCUCAGGGGACCCUCCCUUGCUAUUGCACUAGCACUUGUAGUGGCAGAGAAAGUGUUCCUCUUAGCAUCAGGAGUCCUCAGGUUUCCCCCCACAGCUGGUGUUCUCAUGGCCACGGGGUGAUACCUCCGGGGGGGGGGGAGAGCCUCUGUUACAUCAUCCUUCUCCAUGCCAGGGCGGGAACAGCCAGUGUUGCUGCCUCCAGGACCGACCAUCCCCCAGCUGCCACCUGGGUAGGUUCGAUCGCGGGUGUCUCGAGACCUGAGAGGUUCAGAAUUGGCCUCAUCCUAAACUCCAGCUGACACCUGAAGAACGGAUGUUGACUCACCCCCAGGUGGAAGGCCCUCACCACAAAGGCCCCUGAGAGCCUUGGCCUCAUGUAAGUUCUGUUGGUUACCACCUCUGCUAUGGCCAGCUGCCAGCCCUGUGGCUUAACAAUCUCUGGUGUCUUGAGAGUGGAACCCCCCCUCUCCAACUUCCCUAGGUGCUUUUCAGUUGAGUCAUCUGCAGAGUAAUAUAUUUUGACCCAGGCUCCAUGCUGAGCAUUUAAUCAGUUUGUUUCAGUUUAGGAGUACUGCUGGCAUGCAGGACAGUUGGAUUCACAACUGGGAAGAUAGAGGCAAGGCGUACAGGCACAGUUGGAUUCACAAGCUAAGAGGGUAGAGGCAAGCCCAAAUGGAACGCUCUUGUAAUAUAGCGUCUUUGGUAGCAAUAACCGUUCUCCACCUCCCUUAGUUCAUAUAAAACACAGAAUCAAAGCCUGAGUCAGAGUCAGUUCGGGAAAAAGUUCAGAAGAUUAAUAAAAAUUGUUUAGAGUUACGAGUCCGUGAAAUAGGCUGGGCGGCGACAGUUAAGCUGUUUGACUUCGUUAGAUCUGAUUUACUGCGCCAAUGUCACAAGUUCUCUGAUGUAAGAUCCCAGGUUGCCAAACACAUAAAACAUACCCUACUUUCGAUAAGAACAGGGUUUCAAAGUUUAAAAAGUUUAAAAAGUGAAAAAGGAGUAGGAGUCCACAAUAUAUAAUUGAGGAGAGCUCUUAAGGAUAAUUAUGAAAAAUGUUGGAUUGAAGUGAAAAAGGAUUUAGAAAUAUGGACAAAUUUGAAGUUAUCAUUGUUAGGUCGAAUUGCUGUGAUAAAAAUGAAUGUGCUGCCAAGGAUGUUGUUUCUGUUCCAAACAUUACAAAUUUUGGAUAAGAUGGAUUGUUUCAAGAAGUGGCAGAAAGAUAUUUCCAGAUUUGUCUGGCAGGGCAAGAAGCCUCGAAUAAAAUUUAAGAUAUUAACUGAUGCUAAAGAAAGAGGUGGAUUUGCCCUGCCAGACCUUAAACUUUACUAUGAAUCAGCUGCUUUUUGUUGGCUGAGAGAAUGGCUGCUACUUGAAAACACUGACGUAUUGGACCUAGAAGGUUUCAAUAAUGUAUUUGGUUGGCAUGCAUAUUUGUGGUACGAUAAGGUAAAAGUACAUAAAGCAUUUAAAAAUCAUAUUGUUAGAAAAGCAUUGUUUAAUGUUUGGAUAAGAUAUAAAGAUUUGCUAGAAAAGAAAACCCCAAGAUGGUUGUCACCAAUGGAAGCGAAGGCACAGAAAAAACUCAAUAUGGAGGCCAAAUGGCCGAAAUAUUGGGAAAUUCUGGAACAAGAGGGAGACAGACUAAAACUGCAGAGUUUUGAAAAAUUGAAAAAUAAAGUGCGAGACUGGCUCCAUUAUUAUCAAAUAAUGGAGGCAUACAAUUUGGACAAAAAAGUUGGUUUCCAGGUGGAAAAAUCAAAAUUGGAAACAGAACUGUUAGAUCCAAAAAUCAAGAAUUUGUCAAGAAUGUAUAACUUGCUGUUGAAAUGGAACACUCAGGAUGAAACCGUGAAAUCAGCUAUGAUUAAAUGGGCACAAGAUGUUGGACAUAAUAUAAUGAUGGCUGACUGGGAACAGUUAUGAACCACAGGUAUGAAAUUCACGGCAUGUAAUGCCCUAAGAGAAAAUUUAAUGAAAAUGAUUUAUAGGUGGUACAUGACACCAGUCAAGCUUGCAAAAAUUUAUCAUUUGCCCGACAAUAAAUGUUGGAAAUGGAAUGAGACUGAAGGUACAUUCUUUCACCUUUGGUGGACAUGCCCAAGGAUUAAGACAUUCUGGGAGAUGAUUUAUAAUGAAUUGAAAAAGGUAUUCAAAUAUACCUUCCUGAAGAAACCAGAGGCCUUUCUCCUGGGCAUGGUCGGCCAAUUGGUGCCAAAGAAGGAUAGAACUUUUUUUAUGUAUGCAACAACAGCAGCAAGAAUGCUUAUCACAAAGUAUUGGAAGACACAAGAUUUACCCACCCGGGAAGAAUGGCAGAUGAAGUUGAUGGACUAUAUGGAAUUGGCGGAAAUGACUGGCAGAAUCCGAGACCAGGGAGAAGAGUUGGUGGAAGAAGACUGGAAAAAGUUUAAAGAUUAUUUACAGAAACACUGUAAAAUUAAUGAAUGUUAGAAAAAUGUUGGAAUGAAAUUAUAUGGCUUUAGUAGAAAUGUUACAAGGAAUUAAGUAUAAAUAGAUUAAUAGAGUAUUAAAGGAAAAAAUAAGGUUAGAAUGUGUUAAGAUAAUUAUAGGAUAGAAAACAGAGGAAGAUGGAAAGGAACUGCUGAAACAAUUAACAGAAGUGGAAUACAAAAAGGGAGGUGGGAGGAGGUCGUGGAAAUAAGUGAAUGGAAGAUAAGAUAUUGAAAUUGUUUGAUUUAUUUUAAACUGUCUUUGUUUUGUUUUGUUAGUUUAAUGUAUUUAAUGUGUUUUUAUGUGUCAGUGUUAUGUAGUGUUUUUCUAUUGUGUUGUAUUGUAUUGUAUUGUAUUGUUUUUGUAGUGUUUAAAUUGUUAGAAAAGUAAUAAAUAUUAAUUUUAAUAAAAAGAGGAGAGCUCUAACAAGCGCAUCUUACCUCAGCGCUAUCUUCUCCUCUUUACCUUAUAACAGGCACUGUAUGGAGCAGUUACAGAAAUCUCAGUAUGGUGCCUUUCUUAUUCUGAGAUGUGGGCUGAAGAAGUGCUAAAUACCAGUUUGGGGGCAGCCUGUGCCUAUUCAUAUUUAUUUAGGAGUCCCUAUAUUUUAAUGGAUUUACACGCAUUAGUAACUGUGCAUAAGAGUAGAGCAUUACCUGUGUUAAGUUGGAAAAGACUUGUUUGUUUAUGAUCUGGGGUUCAGGGGUGCCAAUGCACUACCGGAUUCCCUGCUUAUGGAAUCGUCCACAUGCAGACAGAUCUAAAGACAGAGACACUAGCUGUUAUAAAUAAAGCCUGAUUGGAUUUAUUCUGAUGACUUUUGUAGAGAAUACAGAAAAAAAGCAAUGAACUAGCUGAAAAACUAAUUUUAAGGAAGUCAGUCUGUUUCAGGUCGCCUCAUCCACCCCUCCCAGACAUGUUUCCCUUGUCUCUUUCUCGACAGAGGUCAUCAUACAGGGCGACCAAAGCAGUUUCUGCACCAAAACCAGCCAUAAACCCCAAUAGAAAUGGAUCCAGAAAAGUUUCUUCCAAAAGCACCUAGAAAAAUGACCUCUUAGUAAUGAAGUCAUACUCUCGCCAGCGGCGCAGGAAGGGGGGUGCGGGUCUCCUCAGGUGUCAUCACUGGGUGGGGGUGAGAAAAUGCCAAAAAUAUGUGUUUUUAAAAUAAAAUUUAAAAAUUUGGGCUCACAACGUUUUUUGAAAAAGUAAUAUUAUUUAAAAUGAGUUUAAUAACUUUGUCUGACAAUUAGAUCAGUCAACAAACGCAACGAAACGCGGCUGAACUCGACGUAGUGGAGAACGUAUGAAUAAGGAAGGGGAGUGGGUGUUUCUUUCCACCGAAAGCAAAAGGAAUUGAUUUUGAUGAUGUGAUUCAAAAUUUGCAGAGAACAAAUUUAGGGGGGAAAGGUUUUAAGUGCUUAUGCUCACAAUGUUAAGUAAACCAGAAAAUCUUUAAAUCAUAACUUUACAUCUUACCAUUAAACAUGUUUUUGUUUUCAAAAUGUAUUUGGUGACUAUUAUUGUCAUCAUUCUUAAG
rnacentral:lncRNA from 1 species